AUGUUAUGAUUCAGGCACUUUUGGAGUAACAACUUAAAUCUCUCCCAUGCAUCAAACAAAGACUCACUAUCUUCCUGACUAAAGUUCGUAAUUGCAUCUUUACUUUC